rnacentral:rRNA from 1 species
AUGCUGGAGGUAUCAGAAGUGCGAAUGCUGACAUAAGUAACGAUAAAGCGGGUGAAAAGCCCGCUCGCCGGAAGACCAAGGGUUCCUGUCCAACGUUAAUCGGGGCAGGGUGAGUCGACCCCUAAGGCGAGGCCGAAAGGCGUAGUCGAUGGGAAACAGGUUAAUAUUCCUGUACUUGGUGUUACUGCGAAGGGGGGACGGAGAAGGCUAUGUUGGCCGGGCGACGGUUGUCCCGGUUUAAGCGUGUAGGCUGGUUUUCCAGGCAAAUCCGGAAAAUCAAGGCUGAGGCGUGAUGACGAGGCACUACGGUGCUGAAGCAACAAAUGCCCUGCUUCCAGGAAAAGCCUCUAAGCAUCAGGUAACAUCAAAUCGUACCCCAAACCGACACAGGUGGUCAGGUAGAGAAUACCAAGGCGCUUGAGAGAACUCGGGUGAAGGAACUAGGCAAAAUGGUGCCGUAACUUCGGGAGAAGGCACGCUGAUAUGUAGGUGAAGUCCCUCGCGGAUGGAGCUGAAAUCAGUCGAAGAUACCAGCUGGCUGCAACUGUUUAUUAAAAACACAGCACUGUGCAAACACGAAAGUGGACGUAUACGGUGUGACGCCUGCCCGGUGCCGGAAGGUUAAUUGAUGGGGUCAGCGCAAGCGAAGCUCUUGAUCGAAGCCCCGGUAAACGGCGGCCGUAACUAUAACGGUCCUAAGGUAGCGAAAUUCCUUGUCGGGUAAGUUCCGACCUGCACGAAUGGCGUAAUGAUGGCCAGGCUGUCUCCACCCGAGACUCAGUGAAAUUGAACUCGCUGUGAAGAUGCAGUGUACCCGCGGCAAGACGGAAAGACCCCGUGAACCUUUACUAUAGCUUGACACUGAACAUUGAGCCUUGAUGUGUAGGAUAGGUGGGAGGCUUUGAAGUGUGGACGCCAGUCUGCAUGGAGCCGACCUUGAAAUACCACCCUUUAAUGUUUGAUGUUCUAACGUUGACCCGUGAUCCGGGUUGCGGACAGUGUCUGGUGGGUAGUUUGACUGGGGCGGUCUCCUCCUAAAGAGUAACGGAGGAGCACGAAGGUUGGCUAAUCCUGGUCGGACAUCAGGAGGUUAGUGCAAUGGCAUAAGCCAGCUUGACUGCGAGCGUGACGGCGCGAGCAGGUGCGAAAGCAGGUCAUAGUGAUCCGGUGGUUCUGAAUGGAAGGGCCAUCGCUCAACGGAUAAAAGGUACUCCGGGGAUAACAGGCUGAUACCGCCCAAGAGUUCAUAUCGACGGCGGUGUUUGGCACCUCGAUGUCGGCUCAUCACAUCCUGGGGCUGAAGUAGGUCCCAAGGGUAUGGCUGUUCGCCAUUUAAAGUGGUACGCGAGCUGGGUUUAGAACGUCGUGAGACAGUUCGGUCCCUAUCUGCCGUGGGCGCUGGAGAACUGAGGGGGGCUGCUCCUAGUACGAGAGGACCGGAGUGGACGCAUCACUGGUGUUCGGGUUGUCAUGCCAAUGGCACUGCCCGGUAGCUAAAUGCGGAAGAGAUAAGUGCUGAAAGCAUCUAAGCACGAAACUUGCCCCGAGAUGAGUUCUCCCUGACUCCUUGA